rnacentral:rRNA from 1 species
CACCGCGGUUAUACGAGAGGCCCAAGUUGAUGAUCAACGGCGUAAAGAGUGGUUAAAGUAAAUACUAAAACUAAAGCCCCACACUCACAAGGCUGUUAUACGCACCCGAGAAGUGGAUGCCCCCCUACGAAAGUGGCUUUAACAUAACUGAACCCACGAAAGCUAUAACACAAA